AACGAACGCUGGCGGCAGGCCUAACACAUGCAAGUCGAGCGAGGACUUCGGUUCUAGCGGCGGACGGGUGAGUAACGCGUGGGAAUGUGCCCUUCUCUACGGAAUAGCCCUGGGAAACUGGGGGUAAUACCGUAUACGCCCUAUUGGGGAAAGAUUUAUCGGAGAAGGAUCAGCCCGCGUUGGAUUAGGUAGUUGGUGGGGUAAUGGCCUACCAAGCCGACGAUCCAUAGCUGGUUUGAGAGGAUGAUCAGCCACACUGGGACUGAGACACGGCCCAGACUCCUACGGGAGGCAGCAGUGGGGAAUCUUAGACAAUGGGGGCAACCCUGAUCGAGCCAUGCCGCGUGAGUGAUGAAGGCCUUAGGGUUGUAAAGCUCUUUCAGCUGGGAAGAUAAUGACGGUACCAGCAGAAGAAGCCCCGGCUAACUCCGUG
rnacentral:rRNA from 1 species